rfam:Lepisosteus oculatus linkage group LG17, whole genome shotgun sequence.
GCCGUGAUAGCUCAGACAGCAAGGGUGUCUAGCUCCUAACCGGAAAGUCCCUGGUUCAAUCCCAGGUAGGGGCA